GUUCUUCCGUCUGCGUUAAGAAGACGUCACCGUCGCUUCGAUCCAAGUACAGGCCACCGCUUCUUACCAGAAGAGGUGUAACGGUGUAAGCUUUCAUUGAAUCUCCGUCAUCUACGUUCUCAUUCACUCCAUUAAACCACCACCUUCAUUAACUCGCAUUCAAUAGCACCUUCACCCUCCUCGAUGGUUACAAAAGUUAUUCCAUAAAUGAAGAGGUCAAAUACAAAACCAGGAGAAGUAGCUUGGAAGAAAGAAAGGAGAAUGAAUUAGAGGGAGAAGAAACUGAGACAGAGCAUCAGCAAUCAGAUGGAAUUAAGGCCAAACGUUUUUUGUUCUCAAAAUUAGUCAAAGUUGUUAUUAUUAUGUUGUUGUAUCUAUCUUUGGCGGUCUUUGUGGACUAAGUUAAGAAUAAAGCUUCCGUUGGUGUGUCAAUGGCGAGUUAUACGAUGGUACCAGCUUCUCUCCAAGGUUUUGCCAUAUUAUUUUCUGAGUUCACCCUUAAAACAACUCAAACGUCAAAACAAGAUAUAUGUAGGGAAACAAGAUGGAAAAAAGAGUCGGAGAGAUUUGGAAAACAAAUAUUUUUUUGCAGGACUUACGAUGGGAAGUCGUAGAGAUGCAAAAUAUUGUCUUUCCAAGAGCACGACAAAACUGGCUUGGUUUCUUCAUCAUGUACGCCAGAGGUUCUGCUCUGAUGAACUGUUUAUGGCGAUGAGGUUCUUAUUAGAUAGAGUUCUUGGCACUGCUCUAAAUCGCUGAUGCUCUGCAAAGACUUAGUUCUCACUCUCCACCAUCUGGAUUUAGCUCUUACCCUGGUCUCAACUGCUCUCGGAACCAUCGAAUCCAUUGGCAAGGCAAGUCCGUCUCUCGCUGGAAAGCCGGAAACCAGGAACUGACAGCACCCAUUACUUGACACUGGUACUUGAAACAUCUCAUUACUUGCAGUGAAAGUAACCGGCUCUAAUGCUUGGAUGUCUUGGAGACAGGU